UAAAGCCCCCUCUCAGAUUCAUUAUCAUCCACUCAGCAUAAGGGCGCUGAAGAGGUUUGCCCCGGAACGUGAAUGAGGAAGCGUUGUAUUGUUAUAUUUUCCCGGUUUCAUUUCACUCGCCUCAUGACCUCCGUGGAGGAUAAAACACGCAAGCUAGUAGUGCUUCAGGCCGAAGACGCAACUAAGGUAUCCAGGUUUUAUUGCGGCCUUGGUGAGCGCAGCAAGUUUUCACGGUGCUCGAAGCUGGUCAUUGCCGACUGCAAAUAAACAUACCGCACCUGUAGAGACUCUCUGCUCAUUCGUGACGCCAAGGGCCGUAACAGU